GUAACGGCGAGUGAACGGAGAUUAGCCCAGCACCGAAGCCUAUCCGCGUUUGUGGACAAGGCAAUGUGGUGUUUAGGCGUGCCCCUGGAGCCAUUCGUCUACUCGAAGUCCAACUCCGAUUAUGGCAUUGGAUCUGUCCCAAAGAGGGUGAAAGGCCCGUACGAGUAGACAUGCAGCAUUGAUUGAAUGGUUCUCAGAUGAGCGCGUCUUGGAGUCGGAUUGCUUGAGAAUGCAGUCCAAAGUGGGUGGUAAACUCCAUCCAAGGCUAAAUACUGGCACGAGUCCGAUAGUAAACAAGUACCGUGAGGGAAAGUUGAAAAGUACUCUGAAGAGAGAGUAAAUAGUACGUGAAGCUGCCUGUAGAGAAGCUGGUGGAGUCAAGCUCCAUGCUCGGCUGAUUAACAAUGAGAGACCAGUUGAUGUUCGGCCCUGCAGUCGAUUAGCCUGGAAAUGGCUAGACGGACCUCAAAUCCGUCGGAGACAUUCCGGUUAGUGUGUUUGUUGUUGACUGUGCGGGGUCGGUCUCUUGUGUUCUAUCAUCGAGCAGCCACCAUGGUGGAUAUGCGCUUGGUGCGUGGUCGUCAAACUGUGCUUAUGUCGGUCCAAAGCUGGCUGGGUACAGGAUGGCAGGUGGUGUCUUGGCAGUCUCUGCUCAAGGCGCUUAUAACGGUUCUCUGGCCGGUGACCAUGCUAACAUUACUAUUGCGCGUAUCCUGCAAGGCAAGGCGUCUCCAUGCAAACUGGUAGCGUCUGCAGAGCCA
rnacentral:rRNA from 1 species